rnacentral:rRNA from 1 species
CCUACGGGUGGCAGCAGUGAGGAAUAUUGGUCAAUGGGCGCGAGCCUGAACCAGCCAAGUAGCGUGAAGGAUGACUGUCCUACGGAUUGUAAACUUCUUUUAUAAGGGAAUAAAGUGAGGCACGCGUGCCUUUUUGUAUGUACUUUAUGAAUAAGGAUCGGCUAACUCCGUGCCAGCAGCCGCGGUAAUACGGAGGAUCCGAGCGUUAUCCGGAUUUAUUGGGUUUAAAGGGUGCGUAGAUGGGUUGUUAAGUCAGUUGUGAAAGUCUGGGGCUCAACCGUAAAAUUGCAGUUGAUACUGGCAGUCUCGAGUAGAGUUGAGGUAGGCGGAAUUCGUGGUGUAGCGGUGAAAUGCUUAGAUAGCACGAAGAACUCCGAUUGCGAAGGCAGCUUACUAAACUGACACUGACAUUGAUGCUCGAAAGUGUGGGUAUCAAACAGGAUUAGAUACCCGGGUAGUC